rnacentral:rRNA from 1 species
AUGCAAGUCGAACGAAGUAGCAAUACUUAGUGGCAGACGGGUGAGUAACAUGUAGGUAUCUACCCUUUGGCCUGGAAUAACACGAGGAAACUUGUGCUAAUACCGGAUAAGUCUUUACGGAGAAAGCUUUAUGCACCAUUGGAUGAGCCUGCACUUGAUUAGUUAGUUGGUGGGGUAAUGGCCCACCAAGACAUUGAUCAAUAGCUGAUUUGAGAGGAUGAUCAGCCACAUUGGGACUGAGACACGGCCCAAACUCCUACGGGAGGCAGCAGUGGGGAAUCUUGCACAAUGGAGGAAACUCUGAUGCAGCGAUGCCGCGUGAGUGAAGAAGGCCUUUGGGUUGUAAAGCUCUUUCGUCGGGGAAGAAAAUGACUGUACCCGAAUAAGAAGGUCCGGCUAACUUCGUGCCAGCAGCCGCGGUAAUACGAAGGGACCUAGCGUAGUUCGGAAUUACUGGGCUUAAAGAGUUCGUAGGUGGUUGAAAAAGUUGGUGGUGAAAUCCCAGAGCUUAACUCUGGAACUGCCAUCAAAACUUUUCAGCUAGAGUUUGAUAGAGGAAAGCAGAAUUUCUAGUGUAGAGGUGAAAUUCGUAGAUAUUAGAAAGAAUACCAAUUGCGAAGGCAGCUUUCUGGAUCAUUACUGACACUGAGGAACGAAAGCAUGGGUAGCGAAGAGGAUUAGAUACCCUCGUAGUCCAUGCCGUAACGAUGUGUGUUAGACGUUGGAAAUUUAUUUUCAGUGUCGCAGCGAAAGCGAUAAACACACCGCCUGGGGAGUACGACCGCAAGGUUAAAACUCAAAUGAAUUGACGGGGACCCGCACAAGUAGUGGAGCAUGUGGUUUAAUUCGAAGAUACGCGCAGAACCUUACCAACACUUGACAUGUUCGUCGCGACUUUAAGAGAUUAAAGUUUUCGGUUCGGCCGGACGAAACACAGGUGCUGCAUGGCUGUCGUCAGCUCGUGUCGUGAGAUGUUGGGUUAAGUCCCGCAACGA